rnacentral:misc_RNA from 1 species
UCGUAUCUCAACGCAAGUUGGAUGUUGAAGGCGUGCUGGUGACGAGCCAGCUCCUUUUAAACGCAUUGCAGAGCUUUGCGCUGUGCUGGCUUUGGUUUGAUAAUCAUUAUCUGUGCCUUUGCUGGACGGCUUCCUCUGAUCGUCAUUUUAUGACUGUCCCUCGUGGGCAUCGAUCGA